rnacentral:rRNA from 1 species
GAUGAACGCUGGCUACAGGCUUAACACAUGCAAGUCGAGGGGAAACGACGGGGAAGCUUGCUUCCCCGGGCGUCGACCGGCGCACGGGUGAGUAACGCGUAUCCAACCUGCCUCUGACUGAGGGAUAACCCGUCGAAAGUCGGCCUAAUACCUCAUGGUAUCGUCUGCGGGCAUCCAACGACGAUUAAAGAUUUCAUCGGUCAGGGAUGGGGAUGCGUCUGAUUAGCUUGUCGGCGGGGUAACGGCCCACCAAGGCUACGAUCAGUAGGGGUUCUGAGAGGAAGGUCCCCCACAUUGGAACUGAGACACGGUCCAAACUCCUACGGGAGGCAGCAGUGAGGAAUAUUGGUCAAUGGGCGAGAGCCUGAACCAGCCAAGUAGCGUGCAGGAAGACGGCCCUAUGGGUUGUAAACUGCUUUUAUGCGGGGAUAAAGUGAGGGACGUGUCCCUCAUUGCAGGUACCGCAUGAAUAAGGACCGGCUAAUUCCGUG